rnacentral:rRNA from 1 species
AACGAACGCUGGCGGCAGGCCUAACACAUGCAAGUCGAGCGAGGACUUCGGUUCUAGCGGCGGACGGGUGAGUAACGCGUGGGAAUGUGCCCUUCUCUACGGAAUAGCCCUGGGAAACUGGGAGUAAUACCGUAUACGCCCUAUUGGGGAAAGAUUUAUCGGAGAAGGAUCAGCCCGCGUUGGAUUAGGUAGUUGGUGGGGUAAUGGCCUACCAAGCCGACGAUCCAUAGCUGGUUUGAGAGGAUGAUCAGCCACACUGGGACUGAGACACGGCCCAGACUCCUACGGGGGGCAGAAGGGGGGAAGCUUAAACAAGGGGGGCAACCCUGAUCUAGCCAUGCCGGGUGAGUGAUGAAGGCCUUAGGGUUGAAAAGCUCUUUCAGCUGGGAAGAUAAUGACGGAACCAGGAAAAGAAGCCCCGGCUAACUCCGG